AACGCACCUUGCGCCUUUUGGUAUUCCGAAAGGCAUGCCUGUUUGAGUGUCAUGAAAUCUCAAUCCCCCUGGGUUUAUGAUCUGGGUCGGACUUGGAUAUGGGCGUCUGCCGGUCACACGGCUCGCCUCAAAUGACUUAGUGGAUCUCUCUGCAUCCGUGACAGACGUAAUAAGUUUCGUCUUGUCCCUUGCUUAUGAGUCUGCUCAUAACCUGCCAUCGCGCACUUUUAGACUCUGACCUCAAAUCAGGUAGGACUACCCGCUGAACUUAA
rnacentral:misc_RNA from 1 species